rnacentral:lncRNA from 1 species
AUAUAUUGGAGUAAUUUGUAAAAUAUUUGACAAGUUCAAGUGCCAAAUCGAACAAAAAAAAAGAGUAGGUACCUGUAAUAGGCCCAAUUUGCCCGGGGCCUAUUCAAAAUAAGCAGAAAAACAAAAAAAUGAUAAAUAUAAUAAGAGUCCAAUACAGUCCAGUAUUACAAGUUCAAAUCCAAGCCCAGAUUACAUUAAGCCUCAAACCCACUAAACGUCAGUCCAAAAAAAAAUACCCAAAACCUCAGGC